rnacentral:rRNA from 1 species
GCUUGCUGGGUGGAUCAGUGGCGAACGGGUGAGUAACACGUGAGUAACCUGCCCCUGACUUUGGGAUAACUCCGGGAAACCGGGGCUAAUACCGGAUAUGAGCUUCCRCUGCAUGGUGGGGGUUGGAAAGAUUUAUCGGUUGGGGAUGGGCUCGCGGCCUAUCAGCUUGUUGGUGGGGUGAUGGCCUACCAAGGCGACGACGGGUAGCCGGCCUGAGAGGGCGACCGGCCACACUGGGACUGAGACACGGCCCAGACUCCUACGGGAGGCAGCAGUGGGGAAUAUUGCACAAUGGGCGCAAGCCUGAUGCAGCGACGCCGCGUGAGGGAUGACGGCCUUCGGGUUGUAAACCUCUUUCAGCAGGGAAGAAGCGCAAGUGACGGUACCUGCAGAAGAAGCGCCGGCUAACUACGUGCCAGCAGCCGCGGUAAUACGUAGGGCGCAAGCGUUGUCCGGAAUUAUUGGGCGUAAAGAGCUCGUAGGCGGUUUGUCGCGUCUGCUGUGAAAUCCCGAGGCUCAACCUCGGGCUUGCAGUGGGUACGGGCAGACUAGAGUGCGGUAGGGGAGACUGGAAUUCCUGGUGUAGCGGUGGAAUGCGCAGAUAUCAGGAGGAACACCGAUGGCGAAGGCAGGUCUCUGGGCCGCAACUGACGCUGAGGAGCGAAAGCAUGGGGAGCGAACAGGAUUAGAUACCCUGGUAGUCCAUGCCGUAAACGUUGGGCACUAGGUGUGGGGCUCAUUCCACGAGUUCCGUGCCGCAGCUAACGCAUUAAGUGCCCCGCCUGGGGAGUACGGCCGCAAGGCUAAAACUCAAAGGAAUUGACGGGGGCCCGCACAAGCGGCGGAGCAUGCGGAUUAAUUCGAUGCAACGCGAAGAACCUUACCAAGGCUUGACAU